ACUACGGGAGGCUGCAGUGGGGAAUAUUGGACAAUGGGGGGAACCCUGAUCCAGCCAUGCCGCGUGUGUGAAGAAGGCCCUCGGGUUGUAAAGCACUUUCAGUGAGGAAGAACGCCUGGUGGUUAAUACCCAUCAGGAAAGACAUCACUCACAGAAGAAGCACCGGCUAACUCCGUGCCAGCAGCCGCGGUAAUACGGAGGGUGCGAGCGUUAAUCGGAAUUACUGGGCGUAAAGCGCGCGUAGGUGGCUUGAUAAGCCGGUUGUGAAAGCCCCGGGCUCAACCUGGGAACGGCAUCCGGAACUGUCAAGCUAGAGUGCAGGAGAGGAAGGUAGAAUUCCCGGUGUAGCGGUGAAAUGCGUAGAGAUCGGGAGGAAUACCAGUGGCGAAGGCGGCCUUCUGGACUGACACUGACACUGAGGUGCGAAAGCGUGGGUAGCAAACAGGAUUAGAUACCCCAGUAGUC
rnacentral:rRNA from 1 species